rnacentral:rRNA from 1 species
GACGAAGGUGGCAAGCGUUGCUCGGAAUCACUGGGCCUAAAGCGCGCGUAGGUGGCUUGAUAAGUCGGUGGUGAAAUCCCAUGGCUCAACUAUGGAACUGCCGUCGAUACUGUCAGGCUUGAGGGCGGUAGGGGAGAGUGGAACUCCUGGUGUAGCGGUGAAAUGCGUAGAUAUCAGGAGGAACGCCGGUGGCGAAGGCGGGUCUCUGGGCCGAUACUGACGCUGAGGAGCGAAAGCGUGGGGAGCGAACAGG